rnacentral:rRNA from 1 species
CCCCUAGAUGUUCUGGGCCGCACGCGCGCUACACUGAACAGUUCAACAAGUCUUAACCUUGGCCGAUAGGUCUGGGUAAUCUUUGAACGCUGUUCGUGAUUGGGAUAGACCUUUGCAAUUAUGGGUCUUCAACGAGGAAUUCCUAGUAAACGCAAGUCAUCAGCUUGCAUUGAUUACGUCCCUGCCCUUUGUACACACCGCCCGUCGCUGCCUCCGAUUGAAUGAUCCGGUGAAUAAUUCGGACUGACGCUUUGAGUGGUUUCCACUCUUUGUGUUGGGAAGUCUAGUAAACCUUAUCAUUUAGAGGAAGCAAAAGUCGUAACA